UUCAUGCUGGGAGGUGAAGGUUUGGGUGACUCGAUUCUACGAUCAGUUCGACCAGAAGGACCCGCCCAACAUUAUUAGAUUCGAGUUCGUUAUGCUUGAUGAAGAGGUGACCUGUUCUGUUGACAUGUGUGUUCAAACCUAUACAGGUUACUUUGCAGAAUCACCUUUCCCUUCCCUUAUUUUUUCAGUAUGGAACCAUGGAGGCUGUGAUGCCACUGAAAUGGAUCAAAAAACAUAGAGCCUCCCUGAUUGAAGACAGAGUAUACAGGCUGCGCUACCUAGAGAUUGUUGAUGCAAGAAACAGCCACCGUCCUGUUCCUCAUCCCUUCAUGACUCGCCUGACAGGACACACACAGAUAGUUGAGGUCACCCAAGUGCCUCAGAGUUUCCCACUAUAUGCAUGUUCCGUCGCACCGUUCGCUACAUUGCGGGCAAGAUCAGAUGAUAGAGAUGAUAUGUCAGAUUGCAUUGGCAUUUUCACUAAAUGCUCACAAGUAAUGAACCAGAAAACAAGAUUUGGAGACAAAACACUGCUUAAUGUACAUAUUACCGAUGGACGAGAGACUGCUGUACUUUCACUUUGGGGACCUCACGCGACCAAGUUUGAAGUUGAGUCUGAGUCGAUGAUACAGCUGGCCAGCAAGGCACCUGUCGUGCUUCUGUUCGUCGGUGUCAUUGUGAAGAUCUUCAACAAUCGACUGGCACUUCAAUGCUCCUCAGUGUGUAGGUGGUACAUCAAUCCUCUUCUUCCAGAAAAAAACAUUGCUGCAGCAGAGCUACGGUGUCGUAGCUGAACCCCCGCACUACAUCGGCGAGGAACGCAAAUCCGAGCAUCAGGCUACCACUGUAAAGGAGCUUGCAAAGCUUAAAAAUCCACACGAUGUACAGGGCAACAAAUAUGUUGUUGUUGCAAAGAUAAAAGAGCUCCAGCCAGACCAGCCCUGGUGGUACAUGGCAUGCACCACAUGCAAAAGCGGUACGAAAUUCGACGGACAGCGCUACACUUGCAGAAACAGCACCUGUAAUAGCACAGGUGGCAUAGAAAGAUACCGUAUCACCUUCCUCGCAGAAGAUCUAGAUUCUAUCGACUCUUCUGAAGAAGAAAUGGUUGAGAUUAUCUGCUUCAGCCCCCUUGGUGAUGAACUCACUGGAAUAACAGCCAGCUUGUGAAUGCCACCUCCCGAGUUCAAGGCUUCGUUCCAGAACAACUUACAAGACUCUAUGGCCAGAAAUUUGAAUUCCAUCUCAGUGUACAGAAGAAAGCUCUACAGAAUGAGCGAACUUCCUUCAAGCUAGAUCUUUUCACCAGAGUUCUGCAAAUUGAACCCGACAACUCCAAUGCAGGGAGUACAGAUGUCAGUGGAGUCGCUCCAAACACAGCUCAAGUUUCAACCCCUCCCAAGGUAUGU